CCCAUUUUCCACAGAUUUAUUGGCGCCCUCUUUGCAUAUCCAGGGAAUCCCAAAGCUUUUCCCAAAUCCCGGGAUUUUUCCCCCGAGCCUUUCCCGGGAUUUUUUUUUUUCCAUGGAAUUUUUUAUUUUUCCAGGAUUUUUCUGGGAUUUCCAUCCCGGGGGGGGGAGCUCUUGCAUAGCCAGGGGGAAAGAAAAAAAAUGGGAAAAAAAAGGGGAAAAAAAAGAGCAGGAAAAUGGGGAUAAAAGCAGGAAAUUUGGGAUAAAAGCAGGAAAAUCGGAAUAAAAGCAUCAGGACCUCCAAGGAGUUAAAAUUCCCUAAAAAUUCAGGAGAUUCCCUAAAAAAAAUCCCCCCCUGAGCCAAAGCGUUUCAGGAAUGGGAAUUUUGUUGGGAAUUUCAAUCCUGAUGGGAUUUUUUUCCUAUUUUUUUUUUUAUUGUUUUGACCCCAAAUUUUCUGGGAAAAAAAAAAUUGGGAAUUUUGUGGGGGGGAAAAAAUGGGAUGGGAGUGGAGGGAUUUGCAUAAAAGCUCCGGGUUUUUCCAGCAGGGCUCAUCCUGAUUUCUCAGGGGAGGCCAAAAAUUCCCAAAAUUUUGUGGGAUGAUCCCAAAAAAAUCCAAAAAAAAAAGGCGAUCCCGGAAUUCCCAGAGCCUGGAAUAAAGUGCAGAAUGUCCAUGGGGGGGAGGGGAAAAAAGGGGAUGGGAAUUCCCAAAUUUUUAAAUAUGGGGAGAAAAUGUGGGAAAAGGGGGGAGAGGUGGGGAAUGGGGGAGCCCAAAGUUCUGGAUCCAUGGAGAUCCCAAAGUUUUUGAUCCAUUGGGAAUUGGGGAUCCCAAACUUCUCAGUCCAUGGAGAUCCCAAAGUUCUUGAUCCACAGGGAAUUGGGGAUCCCAAAGUUCUCAGUCCAGGAAAACCCACCUGGAGCAGGAGAGCCCCAGAACCAACUCCAGGAUCGAGGCCCUGGAAGAUCUCCCAGGAUCCACCUGGAGAAAUCCUCCCCUGGAAGAACUUCCCGUGUCCACCCAGAGCAACCUUUGCUGGAAGAUCUCCUGGGAUCCACCUGGAAAAUCCUUCCCUGGAACAGCCUUGGGAUCCACCAGGAGAAACCCUUUGCUGGAACAUCUUCCAGGAUCCACCUGGACCAAUCCUCCCCUGGAAGAACUUCCCGUGUCCAUCCAGACCAGUCCUUUGCUGGAACAUCUCCUGGGAUCCACCUGGUCAGAUCCUCCCCUGGAAGAACCUCCUGACAUCUCCCCACCCAACCCUCCCACACCACGUCCCCCACCCCAAUGACGGUCCAACAGCAUCAUGGUGGCCACAAUCAUGA
rnacentral:lncRNA from 1 species